rfam:Globodera pallida, Lindley, WGS project CBXT01000000 data, contig: pathogens_Gpal_scaffold_6_contig_29
CAAACGGCCCUCUUUAGGGCCACAAUCAUCGAAUGGACGAAAGCG